rnacentral:rRNA from 1 species
CACUUCUAAGGAAGGCAGCAGGCGCGCAAAUUACCCAAUCCUGACUCAGGGAGGUAGUGACAAGAAAUAACAAUAAACCGGCUUAUGCCUGUUUAAUUGGAAUGAGUACAAUUUAAACAUCUUAACGAGGAACAAUUGGAGGGCAAGUCUGGUGCCAGCAGCCGCGGUAAUUCCAGCUCCAAUAGCGUAUACUAAAGUUGUUGCAGUUAAAAAGCUCGUAGUUGGAUUUCUGUGGGGACGGAGCGGCCGGCCGCACAUCGCGGUUCGAGCUAGCGCUUUCCCUACAUCCUGCCGCGAACCGUGCUACCAUUAAUUUGGUGGCGCCGGGGAUCGGCUCGAUUACUUUGAGAAAAAUAGAGUGUUCAAAGCAGGCCACAUGCCUUGAAUAAGUUAGCAUGGAAUAAUAACUAAGGACUUCGGUUCUAUUUUGUUGGUGUUCGGGACUGAAGUAAUGAUUGAUAGGGACAGUUGGGGCAGUCUGUAUUCCAAAGCGAGAGGUGAAAUUCUUAGACCUUCGGAAGGCAAACAGCUGCGAAAGCGUUCCGCAAGGAUGUUCCCUUUGAUCAAGAACGAAAGUUGGGGGAUCGAAGACGAUCAGAUACCGUCGUAGUCUCAACUAUAAACUAUACCAGCUAGGGAUCGGCCAACGUUAUUUUAUACCGACUUGGUCGGCACCUUAUGAGAAAUCAAAGCAUCUGGGUUCCGGGGGGAGUAUGGUCGCAAGGCUGAAACUUAAAGGAAUUGACGGAAGGGCACCACCAGCCGUGGAGCCUGUGGCUUAAUUUGACUCAACACGGGAAAACUUACCAGGUCCAGACAUAGUAAGGAUUGACAGAUUGAUAGCUCUUUCUUGAUUCUGUGGGUGGUGGUGCAUGGCCGUUCUUAGUUGGUGGAGUGAUUUGUCUGGUUAAUUCCGUUAACGAACGAGACCCCAGCCUGCUAAAUAGCGCGCAUGAGCUUUGCUCGUGGCGAGCUUCUUAGAGGGACUAUGAUGCGCGAUAGCACAUGGAAGUUUGGGGCAAUAACAGGUCUGUGAUGCCCUUAGAUGUUCUGGGCCGCACACGGGCUACACUGGCGCCUGCAACGAGCAUAUCAGCUGGCCCGAGAGGGUCUUGGCUAAUCUUUUGAACCGGCGCCGUGCUUGGGAUUGACCUUUGCAAUUGUUGGUCAUGCAACGAGGAAUGCCUUGUAAACGCGAGUCAUCAGCUCGCAUUGAAUACGUCCCUGCCCUUUGUACACACCGCCCGUCGCUCCUACCGAUGAAUGUUCCGAUGAAAUUUUCGGAGAGCACCUGUGAACUUGGCUCUGCCUUGCGAACGGGAGGCUCAAAGUCACUUAAAUCUGAACAUUUCGAGG